UCUCCUUGUCUGCAUUCUCUCUUUGUGUUUAUCUCGCUGCCUUUCUUUAUCUGUCUUUGUGUGUGUUUCUUUCCCUCUUCCUAGUGCUCUCUGUGUUUGUCUGAGUACUGCUUUUCCUGAUAGUUCUUAUUUUCUCCUCUGGAAAUAUGGGUAUGUAGAGGAACAUCUCAAACUUUCAGCCUAUCACCUGAAUAGCAAGAGAUCAAACAUGUCAACUCCAGUUUAACCAUCUGGAGAAAUCCCUGAUAGAGUGACAUUCCAAUUUCUCAACCAAUCAUUUUAGCCAUGGGAUAUAGACUCUAAGUCAGGCCUUAGUUUUGAAUCAAUUUCUGUGGCAGAAAGGCAGAUUUUUUUUCCUCAAAAAGAGAAAAUUAUGAAAAACAAAUCAAGGCUGGAUAGAUAACAGUAAUAAUGAUAAUACAAUAAUAGUAAUAUCAACUGUCAUUCCCUCUAUAUAUGAAGUCUCCUUCUCUGUUUCUUUUUGUCCCAUUAAAAGUUUAUUGUCAAGGGAAUAGCUCAGUGGUAAAGCCCUUUCCUAGCAUACAUGAGGUCCUGGGUUUGAUCUUCAGUCCCCACACCCAUGAUGCUUCAAGUAUAAUAUGUAGUUUACAUAAAACUGAAGUUUCAUUUAUGCCAUUAUAGAAAGAGAAUUUCAAAUCAUAUCAACCUCCAAAUCCAAGCUCUCUGGUUAUAUGAAUUUAUCUUUAUUUGCUUUGGGUGGUUCUUAUUGACCCUGUAAAUGAUGGUGAAAGGAUAAGCUCAUUUACCUUCAAAACAUGAGGAAGUAAUAGCAUAAUAAUAAUAAAAUCACUUUUACUCAGCAAAAAGUGGUAUUGAUAUUCUGGGUGAAGCCAGUCCCCAUUGCUUAUUUAUGCGACCUAUUACCAGAUGAGGAGGAGGGAAGCCACUGGGAUAUAAAUGCAGUAACUUCUGGAAUUAUAUAAUAGAACAUCCCCACACUCAUUUCCAACAUAUGUCUGCUGC
rnacentral:lncRNA from 1 species